rnacentral:lncRNA from 1 species
UUUUUUUUUUUUUUUUUGAGAGAGAGAGAGAGAGAGAGAUAGGUAGCACGCUAUCCGCUUCAUUUAUUUCAUGUAGAAAUAAACUUAGCUGAAAAUGUGAAUCAACUAGAAUUCUAACUUAGCACCUCGGGUACCAACCACCAAGCCUUUUGCCACUUGUGCUAGGGACGGUCGGUUGGACAGAACAAAUGUUCAAAAGGAGUUGGAUUUUUUUUUUUUCUUUUUUUGCUUUGUUUUGUCAAAGUUAAAAAUGAGGUUCAAGCAUGAUAAAUAAUAAGGUUGAAAACUGUCAGAUCGUUGGCGCUUACCAUUAAUUUUAAAAGUUCAAAUUGUUAAAAAUACGCAACCAAUGCAUUUAAAAGCGUACAGACACAGCGCCCACAGAUCUCGAUUAUGAUUCGGCCCAACCAGCCUCACACCAAUUCGAACAUGAUUCAGCCCAACCCAAUCUAACAUCAUUUCAAAUAUGACUCGACCUAACCCGGCCUUCCGCCACAGACAGAAUGUUGGCGAAUUUAAGCCAACAAAUCUGAAUAGCACAUU